rnacentral:lncRNA from 1 species
CGGAAAUUAUGUAGGAGAAACCGGUGUUACAUUAGAUCUAGGUUUAAUAACCACAAAACCACCAUAAGAAAUAAAGACUCUAAUCAUAUUGUAGCUUUGCAAUUUAAUUCUGGUAAUAAUGACAUUAACGAUAUGCGCUUUAUAUGUUCCGACUUCAAAUCUACUAAGGAUAGACGCUGCGAAGAAACCAAAUGGAUUCACCGCCUAAAACCCCAUGUUAAUGGCUUUAAGAAUGAUGGAGGUAUAGUUCAUGACUAUAUGCUUUUGGUAAUAGUUAAACCUAUGUACCGUAGCUUCGAUAACAUUCAUGAUUUUCUGUUACCUUAUAUUAAGGUAUUGAAAUCGUACAAAGUCCAUAAUUAUUCUAAUUAAAAUUGCACUCAUUCAAAAUCUAAUAUUAAAUUAUCACAACAUGAAAGCCAAACACCCUUAAGGGACACACAUCAAAAAACAUCAAGAAAUUAUAAUCCUCAUAAAAAAUCCAUUAUAAUUACAAUUAUAAUUACAAUCACUUAUGAAAAUUAUUAUUAAUAGCAUUAUAAUUAUUAUUAACAAUUGAAAAAAAGAUAAACAUAUAUAUAUAUAAAUUGAGACUAUACAAAUCCAUAAUUAUUAUAAUAAAAUACAAUUAUUUUGAUAAUUUUAAUUAUUAUUAUAAUUAUUAUUAUUAUUAUUAAAAAUUGGAAUAUAAGAUUUACAUAAAAAAAGAGAACUUUCCAUAAUUCACAACAAGAACAGAAACAACCUCAAGAGAAACACAUCAAAAUCCAAAAAAAAAAAAACACAUCAAGGCAACACACCAAUAAACUUCACCAAAAAGAGAAAAGAAAUUUAAAAAAAGAAAAGACUACUACUACACAAGAUUCAUCACAACCGAUGACAGUAACAAUCAUUCAAAAAAUACAACAAGAAGGCCAAGAACAUAGAAAAUUAUCAAAUCGCAGAGCCAUGCCAAGACCAGUCAGGGGAAGGAGGGAAUGGGCGAUUAUGUAUUAGUUAGUUGUUUUUGUUAAUUAGACGGCAAGAGCUGGAUAACAAGAAUUUCUGAACCUUUUAGUUUUACAAAAGAAUUCACUUCAAUCCUUAGAGUUCAUAAAUACCCUACCGCAAACUUCUCCCCAGUUUCAGUUAAGGCAUCAGGUAAGAUUGUUUCGAGGCUCUUAGAAAAUUCAAGUAAAGGAUUCCCUUCUAACCUUAAUUGUUAAAGAUUAAAGCUAAUGCCUGAUGAUAUGAGAUAAAUUGCUGACCCAGAUUAAUUCUGCAAGCCCGUUUAGGUAGAAUCGGUUGCCCAGGACAACUUAGGCGUAACUAUAAUAGCUUACUAAGUUUUAACUACAACAAUAAUUAUAAAAACAAUGACUUUUUCAGCUACUGCUGGGAAAAGCCAAUGACUGGACAAAUAAAAAAUUGCUUUUUUGCUUUUAGCACAAUUUUCUUCACUUUUUGGUAUUAAUAUUAUUACCGUAUCAUUAUCAUUACCGUCAUCAUCACUAUUAUUACUAAUAGGGCCUAGUAGUAUUAUUAAACAAAACUUUAUUACAGCUUACAAAAGGAUAAAACCAAAACUGAACCAUACAUUAUCACGUCUCUGUAUCUUAAAAGACCUGGCCUGGAAUUUUUGGAUUGAAGAUGAAUUUUUUCGUUGAGUUUGAUAAAUCCACCCCGAGCGGUAAAGCCGUUAUAUAAUCCCCAAAAUUUUAUUUUUUUGAUUAUCGUUUAUAUGGUUUAUUAGUAGACGUUUAUUGUGGGUCUCUACCAGAGCACGGGUCACAAACAUGAUAUAGUAGAAGGAGUCAAUCCUAGAAUGUACAGCAUUUAAUUCAUCACCAAACUCCGUGUUUUGUUUGCUUUUUUUUUGUUUUUGUUUUUUGUUUUAGUUUUUAUUUGUAAUCGCAUAAAAAGUGACACGUCGUCCUCGGAGUUGACUAUUACUAUCACAUAGCGUGGUCAACAAAAUGAUGUAUAACAAACCAUGUUCAUUUUAUAUUUCUUUUUUGCGUAAACAAUUCACGCUUAGGCCUAUGUGUAUAAUGUGUGCUGAUGCAUAUUUACAUAUUUUAGAAGUAAUUCAUUUUGAGUGUUCCCAGGAAGGAAUUUGAAUUGGCUAGCAAAAAAAGCUUUAAAAUACUAACACUGUGUACAAAGAGAGGGUGGGGAGGGGGAAUACGUCCCUGAUUCAUGAGUGUGCGCAAAUAUAUGGAGUGAAUAUGAUACAUUCGUACGUAAGCCUUCGAUGUAUAUGUCCUUAGUAAAUAAAAUGCGAGAUGCUCAUAACUUUCUAAACAACUAAAUUCACCCGAAAUUUAAGCAUAACAAUAAAAGAAAUCUGUUGAAAGUUUGUAUUCUCAUAUAAAAUUUAUUGAUCAUUAAGCUAUGUUACUAUAUUUACUGUAUUCAGAUAAACACCUCUAUUUAAACUUUCCCUCGACACGUCCCCAUCAAAAUAAAUUUCCAUGGGCAUAUUUUUGUCACGUUUAUUCGAAUAGAUACGUUAUGCAAGUGAAAGAGAGCAUAUGUAACAACACGUUCCCAAAACUAUCGCAGU